rnacentral:tRNA from 1 species
GUUCAGUUGGGAGAGCAUUAGACUAAAGAUCUAAAGGUUCCUGGUUCAACCCCAGG